rnacentral:rRNA from 1 species
GUGAGGAAUCUUCCACAAUGGGCGAAAGCCUGAUGGAGCAACGCCGCGUGAAGGAUGAAGGUCUUCGGAUUGUAAACUUCUUUUAUGAGUGAAGAAUAUGACGGUAACUCAUGAAUAAGCACCGGCUAACUACGUGCCAGCAGCCGCGGUCAUACGUAGGGUGCAAGCAUUAUCCGGAGUGACUGGGCGUAAAGAGUUGCGUAGGCGGUUAUGUAAGCGAAUAGUGAAACCUGGUGGCUCAACCACACAGACUAUUAUUCGAACUGCAUAACUCGAGAAUGGUAGAGGUAACUGGAAUGUCUGGUGUAGGAGUGAAAUCCGUAGAUAUAAGAAGGAACACCAAUGGCGUAGGCAGGUUACUGGGCCAUUUCUGACGCUAAGGCACGAAAGCGUGGGGAGCGAACCGGAUUAGAAACCCCGGUAGUCC